UGUGUAGGCGGCCUGUUAAGUUCCGUGUGAAAUCUCCCGGCUUAACCGGGAGGGUGCGCGGAAAACUGGCGGGCUAGAGUACGGGAUGGGAGAGUAGAAUUCCUGGUGUAGCGGUGAAAUGCGUAGAUAUCAGGAGGAAUACCGGUGGUGUAGACGGCUCUCUGGACCGUAACUGACGCUGAAACACGAAAGCGUGGGUAGCAAACAGGAUUAGAUACCCUGGUAGUCCACGCCCUAAACGAUGCAUAUUUGGUGUAGGCAGUUCAUUCUGUCUGUGCCGGAGCUAACGCGUUAAAUAUGCCGCCUGGGGAGUACAGUCGCAAGGCUGAA
rnacentral:rRNA from 1 species